AUGGAUAUCAGUUGCCAGAGAAACCUGGAUUUACUAUGGCGGUUGGAGGGACAGCGGUGCACACACGUCCUGCUGGAGAGAGCUGGAUUCUCGUUUCAGGUCACCAUCAGAAAAACUAAGUUUGGCAUACAGUAAGGAUCAGGAGAUCUGAUCCUGAUUGCAGAACUGUCCUUGAUUACAGAGUCUUGGGUUGUGUCUUCUACUUCAUCCUUCCAGACCACCCUGAAGACCUGUAAGAUUCCACUUGGGAAAUUAUUUGCAGUUCUUGGAAAGGAAAGAAGGAAGAUUGUUGGUUGGAAUAAAAACAGGGUUGAAUGAGUUCCAGAAAGCAGGGUUCUCAAACUCGUGGACAGCAAUCUGCAGAAGAAGACAACUUCAAAAAGCCAUCCCGAAGCAAUAUGCAGAGAAGUAAGAUGAGAGGGGCCUCCUCAGGAAAGAAGGCAGCUGGUCCACAGCCAAAGAAUCUUGAGCCAGCUCUUCCAGGAAGAUGGGGUGGUCGCUCCGU